CAGAACAAAUAACAGGGGAAAGAAAAGGUGGCUUUUCACAGGCAUUGUGCCCUAAGCUAACACCUCAAGCAGUGGAACUGACUGCAGACCCUAAAGUGCUGUUCAUGGUGAAGCAACAAUUGCUGCUCUCUUCUUAUUUGUUGGGACAGAAAGAAUCCAUGUCUCUAUCUUCCUUUCCUUCAGAGAGCAGAGACCCUGCCUGGAACAGGAGCUGCCAUUAUAAUGAAGUACUUGAUUUGCCUUUGUACUAAUUCUUUGCCUGGAUUCUCUCAACAACUCCUUCGCUUGAAAGCCUGCCUGUAUUUUGAAGGAUCAGCAAGCUAAGAGAAGCAGAGUUCAGAUUGUUGAACAAUGGGAUUUGAAGUUUGGAGGAGGAAGAUUUGGAUACAGUGGAAUUAUUUGGGAUGUGAACAUCAGGCAGGAGAACAACCACAGACUUUUAGCUCUCUUCAGGACCAGACCCAGCAUAUUUCACUCACCUUGGUGACUCCUCCCUGGCACCUGCUUCUUGUCCCUAUAUGAGGCUGAGAGACAGACAGAG